ensembl:misc_RNA 7SK 7SK RNA
GGAUGUGAGAGUUAUCAGGCUCUGACUUCUGUCACUCCACUGAUUGCCAGGGUUGAUUUGGCUGAUCUGGCUGGCCAGGAUGUGUCUGCUUUCUCCCUCACUGCUCCAUGUGUAUCUUUCCAGAAGCUGCAAGCUCAGUCAAAGAGGACAACCUUCUCCUAGAGAGGAGGACUGUGCCUCUGUCAAGGUAUAUGAGUAUCUGUGCUUCCCUGCUAGCACCUCCAAACAAGCUCUCUACGUCUAAGGACAGGGAGGGCAAGGGGAACUAGGAGAGAGAUCAAAUGGGUACAAUGGAUU